GACGAACCGUGCGAACGUUGUUCGGAAUCACUGGGCUUAAAGGGCGCGUAGGCGGUCGAUAAAGUCCGGGGUGAAAGCCUCCAGCUUAACUGGAGAAGUGCCUUGGAUACUGAUCGACUAGAGCGAGGUAGGGGCAGCUGGAACUUCCGGUGGAGCGGUGAAAUGCGUUGAUAUCGGAAGGAACGCCGGUGGCGAAAGCGAGCUGCUGGACCUUUUCUGACGCUGAGGCGCGAAAGCUAGGGGAGCAAACGGG
rnacentral:rRNA from 1 species